GUUUCUCCCCAAUUCUCUGCCUAUAAAAAAAACUUCUCCUCCAAUUCGGCUCGUAUUCUCUCAAUCAACAAAUUCAAAAAAACCCAUCGAUUUCUUUUGUUUUGAUUGGAUUUGCUAAACCCGUCGAUUUCCUUUGUUUCGAUUUGAUUUGCUUUACCCAGAAACAAAGAAGAACAAAAAAGCAACAAUCAAUCGGCCAUGACAGGUAAGGCGAAGCCAAAGAAGCACACGGCAAAAGAGAUUGCGGCGAAGAUUGACGCAGCCACCACCAACAGAGGCGGCGGAAAGGCCGGACUCGCCGACCGGUCUGGCCAUGAGAAAGGCGGUCACGCCAAGUUCGAGUGCCCACACUGCAAGAUUACGGCACCUGAUGUCAAAUCUAUGCAGAUUCAUCACGAGUCGAAGCAUCCCAAAAUCCCUUAUGAGGAGGACAAGAUUGUGAAUCUCCACGCUGUUCGUGUUGCUGCCGAUGCAUCGAAGCCGAAACCGGGUGUGAGAGGCAGCUACAAGAAGUGAAAAAAAAAAAUCCGGAUUCAUGAGGAUGGAUGAUGAUGACUGUGGUGGGUGGGCUCAAUUCUAUGGUAUUGGGUACUUUUGUUUUUGUUUGUCUUUUUUCCUCUUUAAAAAGAAAUCUUGGUGCCUCUAUGUCUUUGAUGGAAAGUGGUUUUAACUUGUAACGUGUUUGAGUAAAACAUAUUUGAUGUCCUUGGAGCUGAGGUCUUUGCAAUUAUGUAUAUUACAUAAAAACAUUAUCAUUGUUGUUAUGGUAACG
rnacentral:misc_RNA from 1 species